UACGUAGGGCGCAAGCGUUAUCCGGAAUUAUUGGGCGUAAAGAGCUCGUAGGCGGUUUGUCGCGUCUGCCGUGAAAGUCCGGGGCUCAACUCCGGAUCUGCGGUCGAUACGGGCAGGCUAGAGUUCGGUAGGGGAGACUGGAAUUCCUGGUGUAGCGGUGAAAUGCGCAGAUAUCAGGAGGAACACCGAUGGCGAAGGCAGGUCUCUGGGCCGAUACUGACGCUGAGGAGCGAAAGCGUGGGGAGCGAACAGG
rnacentral:rRNA from 1 species